rfam:Microvirga aerilata strain BSC39 scf7180000028500, whole genome shotgun sequence.
CCCCUGAUCCGGGCCCCUCUGACGCAGGAAGCGGUGGCGCUUGCGUGAUGUCGGAUCGUUACC